CUACGGGACGCACCAGUGGGGAAUAUUGCACAAUGGGCGCAAGCCUGAUGCAGCCAUGCCGCGUGUAUGAAGAAGGCCUUCGGGUUGUAAAGUACUUUCAGCGGGGAGGAAGGGAGUAAAGUUAAUACCUUUGCUCAUUGACGUUACUCGCAGAAGAAGCACCGGCUAACUCCGUGCCAGCAGCCGCGGUAAUACGGAGGGUGCAAGCGUUAAUCGGAAUUACUGGGCGUAAAGCGCACGCAGGCGGUUUGUUAAGUCAGGUGUGAAAUCCCCGGGCUCAACCUGGGAACUGCAUCUGAUACUGGCAAGCUUGAGUCUCGUAGAGGGGGGUAGAAUUCCAGGUGUAGCGGUGAAAUGCGUAGAGAUCUGGAGGAAUACCGGUGGCGAAGGCGGCCCCCUGGACGAAGACUGACGCUCAGGUGCGAAAGCGUGGGGAGCAAACAGGAUUAGAUACCCGGGUAGUC
rnacentral:rRNA from 1 species